UACGUAGGGGGCAAGCGUUGUCCGGAAUCAUUGGGCGUAAAGGGCGCGUAGGCGGCCCAGUAAGUCCGCUGUAAAAGUCAAAGGCUCAACCUUUGAAUGUCAGUGGAUACUGCCGGGCUAGAGUCCGGAAGAGGCGAGUGGAACUCCUGGUGUAGCGGUGAAAUGCGCAGAUAUCAGGAAGAACACCCGUGGCGAAGGCGGCUCUCUGGGACGGUACUGACGCUGAGACGCGAAAGCGUGGGGAGCGAACAGG
rnacentral:rRNA from 1 species